UGGUUUACUUUGAAUUUCUCCCCCAUAUAUAUCCUCUUUACACACUUGCAAACCUUCAAUUCUUCUUCCCCAAUCUCUGAAAUCUUAUCUCCGGGCUAAUAACUUCACCGAGGGGGCACCUCUUCAAAUCUCAAAUUUCAUCAACACUCUGUUUCCGACCAGCCAAAAAACAGAGCAUAUAUUGAAUCUGUCUCUGUUGAUUCAGAAAUCGAUUGAAUUUUUUUUGCAAGAGAGAUCAAAAACCCGUAUUGGUUUUAAAUCAGUUGAUGUGCUUAAAGGUGGCGGACCAACAAGGCGGCGGAGGUGGCGGCGGGAGAGGCGGAGGCGGG
rnacentral:lncRNA from 1 species